CAUCAACUCACAUUCCAUCACAGACUGUUUCCCCCUUGUAUUUAGUUCUCCACACCAAGCCCUGUGAAGCCCUCGUCUGCUUCCCCCCCAUCCUGGAUUUCCCCCUCUUGGACUCUGUUUUGCUCCGAUCUGUUCAUGGAUAUUCCCCAGCCUUCUGUCUGCCAGUUUUCUUCCCCCCACUAACUUCUGGAUUCCCUGAGCCUGCCUGCUUUGCCCCCUUAGUUCUCUUUCCCCUGGUUUUGUACAAGGCGCUGCAUGCUGAGGAGGAAACAGCUGCAGCGAACCACAGUGUUGACCGAACAGAGCAGAACAGGACGUAUAGCUGGGCUAUUUGUGUCCCAUCCUGUCAACGCAAUCUUCAAAGUCCAACACGGGUCUCCUGAGGUUUUCCAUGACGGCACUUUUAUUGGGGAGAGGGUGAGAUAGCAGCGCGUCUGAGGUGAACAGGAAAUAGGUGCUCUCCACCUUGAAGUGAAAGGCCCAGCAGGGAUCUGACCACAUGACUAAAGGCGCUGGAUGCAUCCUCCACUGCUCCUCCUCCUCCUUCUCCACUUUAAAAGGAUGUCGUCUUCAUUUAAG
ensembl:lncRNA